UACGUAGGUGGCAAGCGUUGUCCGGAUUUAUUGGGCUUAAAGGGUGCGUAGGCGGCUUUGUAAGUCAGGGGUGAAAUAUGGCAGCUCAACUGUCAAGGUGCCAUUGAUACUGCGGAGCUUGAGUACAGAUGAGGUAGGCGGAAUUGACGGUGUAGCGGUGAAAUGCUUAGAUAUCGUCAAGAACACCUAUAGCGAAGGCAGCUUACUAGGCUGUAACUGACGCUGAGGCACGAAAGUGUGGGGAUCAAACAGG
rnacentral:rRNA from 1 species